rnacentral:rRNA from 1 species
CCAGACUCCUACGGGAGGCAGCAGUGAGGAAUAUUGGUCAAUGGCCGCAGGGCUGAACCAGCCAAGUCGCGUGAGGGAUGACGGUCCUAUGGAUUGUAAACCUCUUUUGUCAGGGAGCAAAGGGCGCCACGUGUGGCGCUUUGCGAGUACCUGAAGAAAAAGCAUCGGCUAACUCCGUGCCAGCAGCCGCGGUAAUACGGAGGAUGCGAGCGUUAUCCGGAUUUAUUGGGUUUAAAGGGUGCGCAGGCGGAAUGUCAAGUCAGCGGUAAAAUUUCGGGGCUCAACCCCGUCGUGCCGUUGAAACUGGGGAUCUUGAGUGGGCGAGAAGUAUGCGGAAUGCGUGGUGUAGCGGUGAAAUGCAUAGAUAUCACGCAGAACUCCGAUUGCGAAGGCAGCAUACCGGCGCCCGACUGACGCUGAGGCACGAAAGCGUGGGGAUCGAACAGGAUUAGAUACCCCAGUAGAA